rnacentral:rRNA from 1 species
UACGUAGGGGGCAAGCGUUGUCCGGAAUCAUUGGGCGUAAAGCGCGCGUAGGCGGCCCGGUAAGUCCGUUGUGAAAGUCAAAGGCUCAACCUUUGAACGCCGAUGGAUACUGCAGGGCUAGAGUCCGGAAGAGGCGAGUGGAAUUCCUGGUGUAGCGGUGGAAUGCGCAGAUAUCAGGAGGAACACCAAUAGCGAAGGCAGCUCGCUGGGACGGUACUGACGCUAAGGCGCGAAAGCGUGGGGAGCGAACAGG